AUUGAACGCUGGCGGCAUGCCUUACACAUGCAAGUCGAACGGUAACAGGUCUUCGGAUGCUGACGAGUGGCGAACGGGUGAGUAAUACAUCGGAGCGUGCCCGAUCGUGGGGGAUAACGAGGCGAAAGCUUUGCUAAUACCGCAUACGAUCUACGGAUGAAAGCGGGGGAUCUUCGGACCUCGCGCGGACGGAGCGGCCGAUGGCAGAUUAGGUAGUUGGUGGGAUAAAAGCUUACCAAGCCGACGAUCUGUAGCUGGUCUGAGAGGAUGAUCAGCCACACUGGGACUGAGACACGGCCCAGACUCCUACGGGAGGCAGCAGUGGGGAAUUUUGGACAAUGGGCGAAAGCCUGAUCCAGCCAUGCCGCGUGCAGGAUGAAGGCCUUCGGGUUGUAAACUGCUUUUGUACGGAACGAAAAGCCUCUUUCUAAUAAAGAGGGGUCAUGACGGUACCGUAAGAAUAAGCACCGGCUAACUACGUG
rnacentral:rRNA from 1 species